UGGGAUAACAGAGGUGUGCCACCCUGCCUU
rnacentral:piRNA from 1 species